rnacentral:lncRNA from 1 species
GUUGAUGUAAAAGCUGUGUGAUCAAGGUUAGACGUUUAAUAGUAAUAAGGUAAUAAGUGGUUUAUAAUUAGCCAUAACGAUACAUACACUAGAUUACAUCAUGGGUUAUUAAACAUUACUCAGUCAGAACCUGCUGUUGUUGUUUAAUAUAACUGGUGUAUGGGGGAACAAAGGUCAGGACAUUCUCUCAUGUAGCCUCUCUUUAGGGUUGGUACAGUAGUCUUAAAGUAGAAGGUCAGGACAUCUUCAUUAGCCUUCUUUAGGGUUGGUACAGUAGGUCUUAAAGUAGAAGGUCAGGACAUUCUUCCAUGUAGCCACUCUUUAAGGUUGGUACAGUAGGUCUUAAAGUAGAAGGUCAGGACAUCUUCCAGUAGCCUCUCUUUAGGGUUGGUACAGUAGGUCUUAAAGUAGAAGGUCAGGACAUUCUUCCAUGUAGCUCUCUUUAAGGGUUGGUACAGUAGGUCUUAAAGUAGAAGGUCAGACAUUCUUCCAUGUAGCCUCUCUUUAGGGUGUUGGUACAGUAGGUCUUAAAGUAGAAGGUCAGGACAUUCUUCCAUGUAGCCUCUCUUUAGGGUUGGUACAGUAGGUCUUAAAGUAGAAGGUCAGGACAUUCUUCCAUGUAGCCUCUCUUUAGGGUUGGUACAGUGUAGUCUUAAAGUAGAAGUCAGGAAUUCUUCCAUGUAGCCUCUCUUUAGGGUUGGUACAGUAGGUCUUAAAGUAGAAGGUCAGGACAUUCUUCCAUGUAGCCUCUCUUUAGGGGUUGGUACAGUAGGUCUUAAAGUAGAAGAUCAGGACUCAUUCUUCCAUGUAGCCUAUCUUUAGGGUUGGUACAGUAGGUCUUAAAGUAGAAGGUCAGGACAUUCUUCCAUGUAGCCUCUUUAGGGUUGGUACAGUAGGUCUUAAAGUGAAGGUCAGGACAUUCUUCCAGUAGCCUCUCUUUAAGGGUUGGUACAGUAGGUCUUAAAGUAGAAGGUCAGGACAUUCUUCCCAUGUAGCCUCUCUUUAGGGUUGGUACAGUAGUUAAAGUAGAAGGUCAGGACAUUCUUCCAUUGUGAGUCUCUUUUUAGGGUUGGUACAGUAGGUCUUAAAGUAGAAGGUCAGGACAUUCUUCCAUGUGCCUCUCUUUAAGGGUUGGUACAGUAGGUCUUGAGUAGAGGUCC